AGAGUUUGAUCCUGGCUCAGGACGAACGCUGGCGGCGUGCCUAACACAUGCAAGUCGAACGAAGCAUUUAAGUGAAUCCCUUCGGGGUGAAGCUUUUAUGACUUAGUGGCGGACGGGUGAGUAACGCGUGAGUAACCUGCCUUUCAGAGGGGGAUAACAGUUGGAAACGACUGCUAAUACCGCAUGACGUAUUUGAAUCGCAUGAUUCGGAUACCAAAGCUGAGGCGCUGAAAGAUGGACUCGCGUCUGAUUAGAUAGUUGGUGGGGUAACGGCCUACCAAGUCGACGAUCAGUAGCCGGACUGAGAGGUUGAUCGGCCACAUUGGGACUGAGACACGGCCCAGACUCCUACGGGAGGCAGCAGUGGGGAAUAUUGCACAAUGGGCGAAAGCCUGAUGCAGCAACGCCGCGUGAGGGAAGACGGUCUUCGGAUUGUAAACCUCUGUCUUUGGUGAAGAAGAAAGUGACGGUAACCAAGGAGGAAGCCACGGCUAACUACGUGCCAGCAGCCGCGGU
rnacentral:rRNA from 1 species